UUGUAUAUACAAUAUUUCAUAGCGUGGCUAGAAAACUUGGUCUACGUUGCGAUCUAAUAGAUCUUUGGUUUCGCUGCUGUAUAUCUUGGAAACCAGAAUUCGUCACGAAUAAUUUAGAAAAUUCAAGAUGUUUUUACAUAAAAGACGAGAAUUUCCCGAACUGUCUUGAUGAUUUUCUACCAUUUUACAAGCGUUAUAAAACACAUUGCGUCACAAUAAGAACUGGACAGAUGUUCUACAUGAUAAGAACUUUAGUUGGAAGGUUUAUAAGGGGACAUAAAAUAAUCAAAUUGGGAUUAGUCAAAGUGCAUUGUAAUGUGCUAAUAACACACCCGCACUAACAUAAUCACAUGUUAGUAUAUAAUAUAAACAAUUGUAAAAAUAAAGAACUUUGUGAGGGUCUUGCAGAUAACAAUCAAUUUACAGAUAGUUGAGCCAACAUAAUGAACGGAUGUUUUUGACAUAUACUAUAUACAUAUAUUUUCGACUUUUAUAUUAUAGAUAUAAAUAUUAUGCCCUAUUUUUGUAUGCAAUGUCAAGUGAAAAUCAACGCGAUGAAUGAAAUAUAUUUAUUAUUCUCUCUGCUAUAA